rnacentral:rRNA from 1 species
ACUACGUGUGGCAGCAGUGAGGAAUAUUGGUCAAUGGGCGGAAGCCUGAACCAGCCAAGUAGCGUGCGGGAUGACGGCCCUACGGGUCGUAAACCGCUUUUGCACGGGGAUAACACCAUCCACUUGUGGAGGUCUGCAGGUACCGUGCGAAUAAGGGCCGGCUAAUUCCGUGCCAGCAGCCGCGGUAAUACGGAAGGCCCGAGCGUUAUCCGGAUUCAUUGGGCUUAAAGGGAGCGUAGGCGGGCGUUAAAGUCAGCUGUAAAAUCGUGCGGCUCAACCGCGCACCGCAGUUGAAACUGGCAGCCUUGAGUUCACAACAGGCAGGCGGAAUUCGUGGUGUAGCGGUGAAAUGCAUAGAUAUCACGAGGAACCCCGAUUGCGAAGGCAGCCUGCCGGGGUGCGACUGACGCUGAGGCUCGAAGGUGCGGGUAUCAAACAGGAUCAGAUACCCGUGUAGUC